GUAGGACAUGUGCUUCGGCUCUUUCCGUCGCGGUGGGAUGUAACUGAAGACCGACAGGGUGGCCAGAGGGUUGGUCUGUGCCUGGAGGGCCACGUCCAUCUUCGGGCAAAGGUUAUAAAAAACCUCAGAGAAGUGAAUCUUCAGCGAGACGGCGCGGCGCGGUGGCGUCUGUGGUUGCUGUGGCUACCGACCGCUUCACUUGACACGUGGUGGCAUGGAAUAUUUGAAGUCCUCAUCAUGAGAUGAUGGUGACGAUUCCUCGUACAAAAAUUGCUGCUUUCUUUGUUGGGACAGUUAUGUGACACAAGCAGAAGAAGAGGAGGAGGAGAGAGAAUCCCCUCAUUCUUCCCCAACCCAGCGAUGAUGUGCCACAUGUGGGAACCAGUUGAUCGCUAGUAUCAGCCUCCCCCCUGCUGGAUGUGGCAAGCGUGUGCACGGUUGCAUCCUAACCUCACAGCAUCAACUGAGUUGCCUUCAUGAGAUUGUCAUGAAAAAAACAUUCUUUGUUUUUGAAUUCAGCUGAUAAGCAGUAAAACGCACUCCCUCUCAGUUUAAUACACGGGGUUCUGCUGCCACAACCUUUCCUGGUCUGGUGUGACCAGUAGAUUGUGGUGUAAGUUUGCCAAAUGGAUGACUAUUCUCUCAUUGUGCUUUACUUUACUGGCGUACGACCCUCAUGUCAUUUGCUCUGUAUGAUGUUCAUGUGUCUGUUGUGUACAUCUCUACACAGGGGAAAAAUAAUUCUUUGAAAUUUACCUGUAUCCUGUUUACCUGUUAUCUGUAGUGCCUUCUGUUUAUGCUAUUUCAGUCCGUAGAAAUGCAUGUCUCACAAAUCAGUAUGAAGCAUCAUUUCUUACCAUCAGUCAGAAUCAAUAAUCACAAAUAUAGAGAAAUAUACAGAGAAACAUGGGUAAUCUGACUUGGUUACCCACAUCCAUUUUUGUCAUUAUUUAUUCUCAAUAUGUUGACUUCUUUUGGGAGUUAUUGCUGUAUUCCUUCAUUGGUUUCUGAUAAGUAAUAUUCUCUAUGGGUGCAUCUAAUUUCUUCAUGGGCUUCGAAUCUUUUGAAAACACCUGAUAUUGUUUCGUCCACAGAGUAAAGUCCGUUUGGCAAAUGUCCCUUCAACUAUAGAGAAGAGUUGACCUCUGUACUGAACCAGUCCAGCUGAACAGUUGCUAAAUGUGAAAGAUAGCAGAAAGAAAGCUGAUGUAAUGAAUACAUUAUGGCUAAAGGUAAUUUUCCAUGUUGAGUCCCAGUUGUAAAAGGACAAUAUAAUGUCAUCUCAAUAAAUCUGU